rnacentral:rRNA from 1 species
GAUGAACGCUGGCGGCGUGCCUAAUACAUGCAAGUCGAGCGAACAGACGAGGAGCUUGCUCCUCUGACGUUAGCGGCGGACGGGUGAGUAACAUGUGGAUAACCUACCUAUAAGACUGGGAUAACUUCGGGAAACCGGAGCUAAUACCGGAUAAUAUAUUGAACCGCAUGGUUCAAUAGUGAAAGACGGUUUUGCUGUCACUUAUAGAUGGAUCCGCGCCGCAUUAGCUAGUUGGUAAGGUAACGGCUUACCAAGGCGACGAUGCGUAGCCGACCUGAGAGGGUGAUCGGCCACACUGGAACUGAGACACGGUCCAGACUCCUACGGGAGGCAGCAGUAGGGAAUCUUCCGCAAUGGGCGAAAGCUUGACGGAGCAACGCCGCGUGAGUGAUGAAGGUCUUCGGAUCGUAAAACUCUGUUAUUAGGGAAGAACAAAUGUGUAAGUAACUAUGCACGUCUUGACGGUACCUAAUCAGAAAGCCACGGCUAACUACGUG